CUUUUUUUUAAUAUUUAUUUGUUAAAGAAAAAAAAACAAGCGUGUUGAAUAAAAAAAUAAAAUAACUUUAUGACACCAUUUAUUGCUGUUAUAUAAAGGCGUUCACUGGAAAUUGUGAAAUAGAUACUAUUGCAGUCCCUCCUAUGAUCGAAUCAAGCCCUACUGGAAAUUAUGAGAUAGAUACAACUCUUGCAGUAAAUGUUGAUAUAAUGUUAUGAGGGCAAGGUCAGACCAUCCAAAUCAAAAGCUUUAAAUAAAGAAAUAGAUAAUGAAAUAGAUCUUUCUAUAAUGCAGGAUAUCACGAAUCAAGAAAAUCUACAAUUAUCCAAAGAGAAUCUAGAACUACCCAAAGAGAAUCUAGAACUACCCAAAGAAAAUCUACAAUUAUCCAAAGAGAAUAUAGAACUACCCAUACAGGAUCAAUUACAAUUACCUAAAACCUUGUCAUUUCACA